CACGUGGGUAACCUGCCCAUAAGACUGGGAUAACUCCGGGAAACCGGGGCUAAUACCGGAUAACAUUUUGAACCGCAUGGUUCGAAAUUGAAAGGCGGCUUCGGCUGUCACUUAUGGAUGGACCCGCGUCGCAUUAGCUAGUUGGUGAGGUAACGGCUCACCAAGGCAACGAUGCGUAGCCGACCUGAGAGGGUGAUCGGCCACACUGGGACUGAGACACGGCCCAGACUCCUACGGGAGGCAGCAGUAGGGAAUCUUCCGCAAUGGACGAAAGUCUGACGGACACGCCGCGUGAGUGAGAAGGCUUUCGGGUCGUAAAACUCUGUGUAGGGAAGAACAAGUGCUAGUGAAUAAGCUGCACUGACGACCCACAAAC
rnacentral:rRNA from 1 species